rnacentral:rRNA from 1 species
UGCCUACGGGGGGCAGCAGUAGGGAAUCUUCCACAAUGGACGAAAGUCCGAUGGAGCAACGCCGCGUGAGUGAAGAAGGGUUUGGGCUCGUAAAGCUCUGUUGGUAGUGAAGAAAGAUAGAGGUAGUAACUGGCCUUUAUUUGACGGUAAUUACUUAGAAAGUCACGGCUAACUACGUGCCAGCAGCCGCGGUAAUACGUAGGUGGCAAGCGUUGUCCGGAUUUAUUGGGCGUAAAGCGAGUGCAGGCGG